rfam:Camelus ferus unplaced genomic scaffold scaffold931, whole genome shotgun sequence.
GAGGGUAUAGCUCAAGUGGUAAAGUGCAUGCUUAGCAUGCAUGAGGUCCUGGGUUCAAUCCCCAGUAUUCCUCU